AGCCGGCACUGCCACGGAGUUUCUGUACAAAUGGAUGAACGUGGGCCGGGGAAGGUGAACUCUGGUCAGACCGGCUGGAGGCAGCGUUAGCUCCCUUUAUGAAUAUAUUUUUUUUUUCUUUGAAUGUAAUAAAGUUUUCUCUCUUAACAUUA